AUUGUUAUAGCAAAAAUAUGCAUUAAAUUUAGAAUUUAAUAAUGAAAUAAUUUCUAACAAUA
rnacentral:tRNA from 1 species